CGUAGGUGUACUUCAUAAAAAGGUCAUGCAGGUUGAUCACUUCUGAAGCCCAUAUGUUUUUCCUUACCACAGUUCUCUGAUAAUGGCUCUAUUCCAGAUUGGGCGAGAAUUACUUUGGUCUUCAUGUUCCUCAAGAAUAGCUAACAAUAUCCUUAAGCUUUUCAGCAAGAGCUUCACUCUCAGUGGUAAUGGGGUUGCAGUUCAUCUUCCAUUCGUGCUAUCCUUCAUGAUAGGUCUGUGUUGAUAAUGGAAUACUUUUCUUGAGUCUAUAAGAUAAUAUUAGAUUUGUCUGCCGUGUUCUGUAAUUGUUUCUUAAGCUUCUUCAUAUGCUCCUCAAAAUUACUUUAGUGGGAUCCUUGUAUAUGUUUCACUCCUGUUGACUGACUUAGAGGUUUGUAUUUCGCAUGUGUUGUUCAUGAAUUUUUACUCACAUUCAUUAACUGAUGCAUUUUUAUCUUCCUGAACCGAUAUCGUACUAUGUGUACAGUUGCUGAAUGUAUCAAUAAGAAGCUGAGU